AAAUUGAAGAGUUUGAUCAUGGCUCAGAUUGAACGCUGGCGGCAGGCCUAACACAUGCAAGUCGAGCGGUAGCACAGAGAGCUUGCUCUCGGGUGACGAGCGGCGGACGGGUGAGUAAUGUCUGGGAAACUGCCUGAUGGAGGGGGAUAACUACUGGAAACGGUAGCUAAUACCGCAUAACGUCGCAAGACCAAAGUGGGGGACCUUCGGGCCUCAUGCCAUCAGAUGUGCCCAGAUGGGAUUAGCUAGUAGGUGGGGUAACGGCUCACCUAGGCGACGAUCCCUAGCUGGUCUGAGAGGAUGACCAGCCACACUGGAACUGAGACACGGUCCAGACUCCUACGGGAGGCAGCAGUGGGGAAUAUUGCACAAUGGGCGCAAGCCUGAUGCAGCCAUGCCGCGUGUAUGAAGAAGGCCUUCGGGUUGUAAAGUACUUUCAGCGGGGAGGAAGGCGAUAAGGUUAAUAACCUUGUCGAUUGACGUUACCCGCAGAAGAAGCACCGGCUAACUCCGUGCCAGCAGCCGCGGUAAUACGGAGGGUGCAAGCGUUAAUCGGAAUUACUGGGCGUAAAGCGCACGCAGGCGGUCUGUCAAGUCGGAUGUGAAAUCCCCGGGCUCAACCUGGGAACUGCAUUCGAAACUGGCAGGCUAGAGUCUUGUAGAGGGGGGUAGAAUUCCAGGUGUAGCGGUGAAAUGCGUAGAGAUCUGGAGGAAUACCGGUGGCGAAGGCGGCCCCCUGGACAAAGACUGACGCUCAGGUGCGAAAGCGUGGGGAGCAAACAGGAUUAGAUACCCUGGUAGUCCACGCCGUAAACGAUGUCGAUUUGGAGGUUGUGCCCUUGAGGCGUGGCUUCCGGAGCUAACGCGUUAAAUCGACCGCCUGGGGAGUACGGCCGCAAGGUUAAAACUCAAAUGAAUUGACGGGGGCCCGCACAAGCGGUGGAGCAUGUGGUUUAAUUCGAUGCAACGCGAAGAACCUUACCUGGUCUUGACAUCCACAGAACUUAGCAGAGAUGCUUUGGUGCCUUCGGGAACUGUGAGACAGGUGCUGCAUGGCUGUCGUCAGCUCGUGUUGUGAAAUGUUGGGUUAAGUCCCGCAACGAGCGCAACCCUUAUCCUUUGUUGCCAGCGGUUAGGCCGGGAACUCAAAGGAGACUGCCAGUGAUAAACUGGAGGAAGGUGGGGAUGACGUCAAGUCAUCAUGGCCCUUACGACCAGGGCUACACACGUGCUACAAUGGCAUAUACAAAGAGAAGCGACCUCGCGAGAGCAAGCGGACCUCAUAAAGUAUGUCGUAGUCCGGAUUGGAGUCUGCAACUCGACUCCAUGAAGUCGGAAUCGCUAGUAAUCGUAGAUCAGAAUGCUACGGUGAAUACGUUCCCGGGCCUUGUACACACCGCCCGUCACACCAUGGGAGUGGGUUGCAAAAGAAGUAGGUAGCUUAACCUUCGGGAGGGCGCUUACCACUUUGUGAUUCAUGACUGGGGUGAAGUCGUAACAAGGUAACCGUAGGGGAACCUGCGGUUGGAUCACCUCCUUACCUUAAAGAA
rnacentral:rRNA from 1 species